AUGAAGCCACGCCCAUAUCAUGUGCGUCACGGACGGUGUUGCCAGAUUGGGGCAUAUGUCACGCAGAAUGAGGCAACCCUGGACACGGACCAACGGUCUGCGCCGACAGCAGAGGACCAGAAUACCGGAGGAGACGCGACGUGGUUUUAUUACCGACGAGCUGUGUGUUCGGAGGUUCCCUCGCCGGAAGCACACAGACAGGAAUGGGGGCCCGGUCCGAUCUCUGGAAUGGGAGAGCGCUCAUUGGGGGAGAACGAGGAGGAUGUGAGGCAGCCCAUUUCGGUCUCUGAUUGGUGGAGGGCAAGGCAGGGCGUGGACCCCCCCCUCUCUGUCUGUCUGUCUGUCUGUCUGUCUGUCUGUCUGUCUGUCUGUCUGUCUGUCUGUCUGUCUGCCUGCCUGCCUGCCUGCCUGCCUGCCUGCCUGCCUGCCUGCCUGCCUGCCUGCCUGUCUGCCUGUCUGUGUGAUCCUAAACACCUUGGAGACCGACGUCAGUGCGUCUCCAAUGUAUCAGGAGCAGGAUUACAGUUUAUCAAUUGUACGUUUGAAUAACCGUUCCUCUAUGGUGAGGAGAUGAUAACACUCUGUUAUGGUGGAGCACAAAGUGAUAAAACAUCCAGGCUGUCUGACAGCUGGAGAGAAACUAGUACUAAACUUUCAGGCGAGUUUGAACCCGACUCAAAUGCCAACGUUUUAACAUUAAUAAAGCGCUAAGCUUUAAAGGUUGGGUAUGGAAUUCGCUUUUUUGGCCAUUUUUGCAAAAUUACUUGAAAUCCUUAUCAUAACCCACUUACAGCCACUGAGUUAGAAGUACUGACAUGAACGUUAAACAAGUCAAUCAUCUUUGGAACGGGCAGGGCUCGAAAAACUCCAGCCAAUGAUUUCCAGAGCCACCGAGUUGCAUUGGACAGUAAGUACGUCAAUCAAACGGUCGUACUGCACUCCCCCUCCCCCCGUGCCCCGCGCGCGACCCCUUCGUGCAGUACUCGUGACCUAGAGCAAGCUCCUGUUUGUUGUUAUCCUGCGGUAGCUACUGGAACUAGUUAAUCCACAUUUGGACCUAGCAGUAGAAGACAAU
rnacentral:lncRNA from 1 species